GCCCGUGUGUUCUAGUUGGUUCAUGAAGCAGGACUUUGAAUCCUGAAACCAGGGUUCGAAUCCCUGCGUGGGCU
rnacentral:tRNA from 1 species